GAUGAACGCUGGCGGCGUGCCUAAUACAUGCAAGUCGAGCGAACGGACGAGAAGCUUGCUUUUCUGAUGUUAGCGGCGGACGGGUGAGUAACACGUGGAUAACCUACCUAUAAGACUGGGAUAACUUCGGGAAACCGGAGCUAAUACCGGAUAAUGUUUUGAACCGCAUGGUUCAAAAGUGAAAGACGGUCUUGCUGUCACUUAUAGAUGGAUCCGCGCUGCAUUAGCUAGUUGGUAAGGUACGGCUUACCAAGGCAACGAUGCAUAGCCGACCUGAGAGGGUGAUCGGCCACACUGGAACUGAGACACGGUCCAGACUCCUACGGGAGGCAGCAGUAGGGAAUCUUCCGCAAUGGGCGAAAGCCUGACGGAGCAACGCCGCGUGAGUGAUGAAGGUCUUCGGAUCGUAAAACUCUGUUAUUAGGGAAGAACAUAUGUGUAAGUAACUGUGCACAUCUUGACGGUACCUAAUCAGAAAGCCACGGCUAACUACGUG
rnacentral:rRNA from 1 species